CCAUCCCCACAACAUACCUUACACUCAGGGCCGGCUCCUGGCACCAGCCCAGCAAGCAGCUGCUUGGGACAGCCAACGGUGAGGGGCGGCACGUCUGGGUCUUUGGCGGCAAUUCGGCGGCGGGUCCCUCGCUCCCUCUCCAUUUUUGGAUAGAGAAGUAGCACCUAGAGGCUCCAACCAAGAUCUGAUUCCCUUUGUGCCUGGCACAUAGUAAGAGACAGUCCCUACCCUGAAGAUCUUACAAUCUAAAUGGACAAGACAAAGAGUUUGAGAGGAAACAGAACUGAAUUUGCAGGUUACAGGCCAGCCCAAUCUCCUCCUCAACAUUAUGAAGGAUUAAAAUCUGAGGGAACAACUCCACAGCUUCCAUAUCCAUAUGCCAGAACAAAGAAAACUGUAGAAAAGCAACAUGAUGGAAUAUGUGUUGAAAUGAAAUAAUUGUACAGUAAUUCUACC